CGUUAGGAUACUUUUUAAAGGAAUCUCCUUACAGUAACUUCUGUUCUGCCUGAUGAUCAUCACCAUGAUUUUAAGAAGAAAGUUUUUUGAAUAAAGAGAAGAUUUUAACCUGCACUAAGAGGAGGAAGCCACAACACGAAGAAGACCAAGGACACACCAAGCUAACCAAAACAAAGUGGAAGAAAAGAACGGCAGGAGGAAGAAGGAGUUGGUUUUGUAUUUCACCGACCUCAAAAGGAAACCACCAUAAACCCUCUUCAAGCCCAUCCCACGGAAUUGAGGUUAGCUUGAGGGACUUUUUCUUGCAAAAACCCACCAGAACCGGCCCCCAAAAAGGACAACGGCCCCGUCAAGGAGGAACGGUAAUUGGGUUGGGGGGAGAGACGGCUGCUGGAGAAAGGUCUAACGUUUGUUCCAACGACAGAUGACAUCAACUCUAAC